rnacentral:lncRNA from 11 species
ACAACGCAUAGUUGAAUAAUUAGAACAAUCAAGGCUAACAAGCUUGAACCACUCCCUGAAUGGGGUAUAACUUGGGGGAAUGUUUGUAAUGUUUUUUAGUACUUACUGAAUCACUUGCAUCAGAACUUACUCCAAGUAAGUUUUCUGACUGAGAGCCUACUAUGCUUGUCUCCUUGCACCAUUGAAGAAAUCUCCAAAGAUGCAUGAAUUUAAUGCAAAGAACUUUAUAUCUUCUUUUUGUUCCCGAAGGCCGGAAACACUAGGUUGCUCUGCAUUUUCUGGGCUGUAU